rnacentral:tRNA from 1 species
CAGAAAGGAGUUUGAAAAGAAUGUGAGUUUUGGGGAUUUAAGGUCUUUGUGUGAAAGCUUUUUGA